rnacentral:rRNA from 1 species
GGAACGAACGCUGGCGGCAGGCUUAACACAUGCAAGUCGAACGGGUGUCGCAAGACAUCAGUGGCAGACGGGUGAGUAACACGUGGGAACCUUCCUCGGGGUACGGAACAACGCAGGGAAACUUGCGCUAAUACCGUAUACGUCCGUGAGGAGAAAGAUUUAUCGCCCUGAGACGGGCCCGCGUCGGAUUAGCUAGUUGGUGGGUAACGCCUACCAAGGCGACGAUCCGUAGCUGAUCUUAGAGGAUGAUCAGCCACACUGGGACUGAGACACGGCCCAGACUCCUACGGGAGGCAGCAGUGGGGAAUCUUGGACAAUGGGCGCAAGCCUGAUCCAGCCAUGCCGCGUGAGUGAAGAAGGUCUUACGGAUUGUAAAGCUCUUUUACGAGGGACGAUAAUGACGGUACCUGGA